rnacentral:rRNA from 1 species
UGGGGAAUAUUGCACAAUGGGCGCAAGCCUGAUGCAGCCAUGCCGCGUGUAUGAAGAAGGCCUUCGGGUUGUAAAGUACUUUCAGCGGGGAGGAAGGGAGUAAAGUUAAUACCUUUGCUCAUUGACGUUACCCGCAGAAGAAGCACCGGCUAACUCCGUGCUAGCAGCCGCGGUAAUACGGAGGGUGCAAGCGUUAAUCGGAAUUACUGGGCGUAAAGCGCACGCAGGCGGUUUGUUAAGUCAGAUGUGAAAUCCUCGGGCUCAACCUGGGAACUGCAUCUGAUACUGGCAAGCUUGAGUCUCGUAGAGGGGGGUAGAAUUCCAGGUGUAGCGGUGAAAUGCGUAGAGAUCUGGAGGAAUACCGGUGGCGAAGGCGGCCCCCUGGACGAAGACUGACGCUCAGGUGCGAAAGCGUGGGGAGCAAACAGG